rnacentral:piRNA from 1 species
UAAAGAUGGAGUCUAGCAG